CCUACGUGGAGCUGCAGUCGAGAAUUAUUCACAAUGGGGGAAACCCUGAUGGUGCGACGCCGCGUGGGGGAAUGAAGGUCUUCGGAUUGUAAACCCUGGUCAUGUGGGAGCAAAUUAAAAAGAUAGUACCACAAGAGGAAGAGACGGCUAAGUCUGUGACAGCAGCCGCGGUAAUACAGAGGUCUCAAGCGUGGUUCGGAAUCACUGGGCGUAAAGCGUGCGGAGGCUGUUUCGUAAGUCGUGAGUGAAAGGCGCGGGCUCAACCCGCGGCCGGCACAUGAUACUGCGAGACUAGAGUAAUGGAGGGGCAACCGGAAUUCUCGGUGUAGCAGUGAAAUGCGUAGAUAUCGAGAGGAACACUCGGGGCGAAGGCGGGUUCCUGGACAUUAACUGACGCUGAGGCACGAAGGCCAGGGGAGCGAAAGGGAUUAGAUACCCUUGUAGUC
rnacentral:rRNA from 1 species